ACUUGGCGGCGGCACUACAUCGCGCCUAUCCCCUGCUUUCUGUUCCACUUCCAUAGCUCCUGCUGCCCGACGACGAGGAUGCUAGAGAGAAGGCUUCAGCGUUCCCUCCGUUCUGAGCCCCCGGCAUCCACUCCCUUGACAAGGAUCGACAAAUCCCCAGGGUCGAACAGCUCCUCGAUACGAAGGCGUCGGCCGCAUCGUCUUCAUUGUUGCGCCAUCGAAGCAAAACUCCCGUACAGCAAUUGACGCAUGCUCGCCGGAAAAGAAAGGGGUCCGCACGGUUUGGAGCCCCGACGAGCCAAGCCGUCCACACCAUCGUCACCACCUCGUCCUCCCCGUCAAGCUGGGACGCCCGGAAUCGACGCCGCCGAGCCCAUCUUCCCCGACGCCGGUCACUGACGCCGCCGUCGAUUUCGACCUCCCCAGCCGUCGCCGACCUUCCCGGCAGCACAAGGUGUCCUACCAUUCUAUCAUAUGACUCUCUUUCUGUUGAGGUGGAUAAGAACUUUCUGAAUGCACUCUAAGAUUCAUUUGUCCAAGGGUUUCAGUGGGGGUGCUAGAGAAGUCCAUGAUCUUAAAUGCAAACAACGCUCCAGAUAGCACCGUGGUGGUGGUCAAAUAAUCCCCACAGCCCGGUGGUCUACUCAGCCUUUCUGAUGACUAAUCCUUUUCUUAUGGAGCCCAUGUUUUUUAUGUUGAGAUCCAAACUCCAAUUGAUGUGUAUCUUCUAUAUAUACGACCCUGUUUCGGCGAUGUGGUCAUGUGACAGCCGAUGUACCAAAGCCAGGCAUUCUGGAAUAUGUUGUGAAGGCAUUUUUACCUACCAUAGUCUUUUGGGUUUGAGACAGAUCUCAGAUACCAUAAAUAGGGAAACGCAUUUUGCGAUCUUCUUGACAAGAGCAUUUUCCUCCGGCCUCUAGAACCGGCACCUAGACAACAACUUGCCCGUGAGUUCAUGGUAAAGAUCCUUCAAAGGAAGGUAAGAUAUACAUCUAGAUACUGAAGAAACAUAUAAUAAUAUAUUAGAGCCUGAUGAUGAUACCGGAGAGAAGGUGGCAGUGUCCCCUCCCCUGCGGUCGACACAUCCCUGCCCACGUCUACAUCCGAGGAGGAGCAGCCGCAGCAAGCGGUGAACAUUGCAGAGAGAGCAACGAGAUGAAUACCGGGCAUGGUUGUGGUCCCCUUCUCGGAGGUAGGGCUCGCCGCUGUUGUGUACCAAAAGAGGCAUGCCAACAUCUAUGUCCAGGUACACUGACUACUCCCUGUGCCUCUGAGCUCGUCCUAUAUCUAUGUCCAGGUACACUGACUACUCCCUGUCCAGUAGCAAAUCCUUGGUCCAGGCAAGCCAGCCGCUUAUGAAAUGUUUAAAGGAGAUACAAUUUAUCGUUUUCCAAUAAUCUGAUCAUUGCAGGAGCAAAUCUGUCGUAUAUUCUGUGGAUUUUUCUGUAUGUGUGCUGUUCAAGAGGAGAGAGUUCCAGUUUUGGUGUUGAACAAAAUCAGACCAAUAUCCCUUGUUAGUCCAAACGCAUAUACUUUUGGGGAUGUCGAUUACAUUUUACAUUCUACAUAGAAGAUUUACAAGUACUUCUGAAUCACACAUGUUAUUAGAUUACCUUGAUUCUUGAUUUGGAGACGAUGAUGUGCAUAUGAUAAGCAAGAAUGCAACUUGUCCUCGUUCUUACAUAUGGGUGUCAAUAUUGUAAAUAUGUAGCUAGAAUUGGUAAUAUUGUUUUCAUGCAUACAAUCACGAGCAGUGAGUAACUGAAACACAAUGGCGGUAACCCUGAGCUUCAUUUCUGAUGUUGUAACCUUGUGGAUGUCGAACCAUUUAAACAAUCAGAACAUUUUUGCCUGUGUAAAAUUUCGUCGAUUUUAUGGUGUCUUUGGCUGUUGAAUCUGCAGUCAGGCUGCUGAUAUUUGUAGUCUUGGGAGAUUGCGAUAAUAAAGUGUCUACUUUUCUUCCCAGUUAAACAUUGCAUGCAUAAAACCAAAACAAGAGAAUUCAUGAAAACUCAGUCAUGAAAAUCAUGAACGCUAUAUGCACCUACCAUGCAUGAUGUGAUGGCUAGCUGCAACUUUUCUAA